AAAAAUAAAAUAAAAACA
rnacentral:sRNA from 1 species